AACAAACCGCUGGCGGCGUGUCUUAAGCAUGCAAGUCGAGCGGCAGGCGCAGCAAUGCGCUGAGAGCGGCGGACUGGUGAGUAACGCGUGGGUAAUCUACCUUUGGCAUGGGGAUAGCCAUUAGAAAUAGUGGGUAAUACCGAAUACGUUCGUCACCGUGAGGGUGACGAGGAAGGGCGCUACGGCGCCGGCCUGGAGAUGAGCUUGCGUCCGAUUAGCUAGUUGGUGAGGUAAAGGCCCACCAAGGCGAUGAUCGGUAGCCGGCCUGAGAGGGUGUACGGCCACACUGGGACUGAGAUACGGCCCAGACUCCUACGGGAGGCAGCAGCUAAGAAUAUUCCGCAAUGGACGAAAGUCUGACGGAGCGACGCCGCGUGGAUGAUGAAGGCCGAAAGGUUGUAAAGUCCUUUUGCUGGGGAAGAAUAAGUGUGGGAGGGAAUGCCCGCAUGAUGACAUGAACCGGCGAAUAAGCCCCGGCCAACUACGUGCCAGCAGCCGCGGUAACACGUAGGGGGCGAGCGUUGUUCGGAAUUACUGGCGUAAAGG
rnacentral:rRNA from 1 species